AGGAGGAAGUUAAUGAGUUGUUUUGGACAUUAUAAAUUGAAGAUUGUAAUGGGAUGUAUAGACGAGAUGUCCAGUCAACAAGCUUGUGAUAUGAGACUGGAAUUCAGUAGAGAUAUUAGAACUGGACAAGACUGAAGAAUUUUCUGUGCAGAAGUGCUUCUUCCUUGGUUGAACUCACCAUUCCUUAUGAGGAAAGCUCCAGGGCCCUCUGGCGACACAUUUUAUCUCAGAUCACUCUGGACUCCGCUAAGGACCUAUAAUAUGCUGACCAGAAAUUCCGAUUCAAAAAUUGAUGCAAGAACCCCUACCAGGACUUUCUGACAAUUCCCAUAGCUGCCAAACUUAUGGGUGUGGAUUUCUAAAUCACCUAAAAAAAGUUCCUGCUCCUGAGUAGAUGAUAGAACCCUCCAUGGACCUCAAAAUUCAUCUAGUAUGGAUCUAGAAGCAGCCAACAUCCAGAUGAAGCAGCUGUCCCAAGAUUCCGGAUGAGGACUAAGAACACUGUUCUAGCCUUUUUUUUUUUCUUUCUAUUUCUCUUCCCUUUUGUUAUGUGCCCAACGGCCAAGGCCCUGAUUGAAGGAUGUGUUGGCAUUUUCUCCUUCUACAUUCUUGCCCCAUCCCUUUUCUGCUUGCAAGUAAACAAUAGCAAACAAUGUCUGGGACAUAAUUUCCCCAUAGGUCUCCUCAAGGAACCAGACCUCUGAGCAAUAUCUUGUCCUGGCCCAACUUGCCUCUCAGGGCAUCUUGACCUACACCUACCUCUUCUUUAUUAGCCAGAAGGAUAGAGAUUCUUUCAAAUCCCCUCCCUUUGGCCAAAAGAGGAAAAUGUCAAGAUAGCAGGAGACAUCCUGUUUUCCAGAGCUAAGGACACAGCAAACAGGCUGUGUCCUGAACUUGGUAUAAGAACAAUUCUUUGCAGUCACCCUCUGGAUGAUCUCAGCCACAGCAAAAUUCCAAAAUUGUUCAUAUAAUUAUUGUAUUGCUUUGGCUAGCACCAGGUGUUCUCUGAGCUUGAACAAGUGCCUGCUGUAUCUGUGUUCUGGUCAUGAAGCCCUGCUUAUGAAUCAAUCUUGUUCCAUUGUGGCUGUUAUUUCACAUUGUCAGGGCUAUAGCUCACUGUGCAUCCAUUUGCAUAAAUAUUGAGAUUUGGCCACACUUAAGCAGGUUCCCCACUAAAGGAAGCUCCUGGCAUAUGUGUCCUUGCUUACAAACUGUUUCCUUCACUUUGAAAUUAAAUUUCUAUUUGAUUUCUGACUCUCCUGUCUCUAGCCUGUUCUGUUUGGCUCUGGAUACCCAUAGGUUAAAGGUGGGUUCCAUCUGGUUGACACUAGUCACUGAUAAAGGGGAAUCUCCUAAAUUAUCUAAUGAAGUACCAAUAUAAUCAGACACACAUAGCACAAAGUUCUACCUCUAUAGUUCAUAGCAUUCCAUUCCACUGUGAUAGAAUAAAUGUUUAUGAACACAUUUGAAGAGUAUAUCGUUAUUAUUAUAUUUUUGGUUGUUGUUUCAUACAGUUGGUUCACACUGAGCACACCCAGUGCAGUACAGCC
rnacentral:lncRNA from 1 species